rnacentral:rRNA from 1 species
AACGAACGCUGGCGGCAUGCCUAACACAUGCAAGUCGAACGAGACCUUCGGGUCUAGUGGCGCACGGGUGCGUAACGCGUGGGAACCUGCCCUUAGGUUCGGAAUAACUCCCCGAAAGGGGUGCUAAUACCGGAUAAUGUCUUCGGACCAAAGAUUUAUCGCCUUUGGAUGGGCCCGCGUUGGAUUAGCUAGUUGGUAGGGUAAAAGCCUACCAAGGCGACGAUCCAUAGCUGGUCUGAGAGGAUGAUCAGCCACACUGGGACUGAGACACGGCCCAGACUCCUACGGGAGGCAGCAGGGGGGAAUAGUGGACAAUGGGCGAAAGCCUGAUCCAGCAAGGCCGCGUGAGUGAUGAAGGCCUUAGGGUUGUAAAGCUCUUUUACCCGGGAUGAUAAUGACAGUACCGGGAGAAUAAGCUCCGGCUAACUCCGU